rnacentral:rRNA from 1 species
AUACGGAGGGUGCAAGCGUUGUUCGGAUUUAUUGGGCGUAAAGCGAGUGUAGGCGGUUUGACAAGUCGAAUGUGAAAUCCCGAGGCCCAACCUCGGAACUGCAUCCGAAACUGUCAGGCUAGAGUCCCGGAGAGGGUGGCGGAAUUCCCGGUGUAGGGGUGAAAUCCGUAGAUAUCGGGAGGAACACCAGUGGCGAAGGCGGCCACCUGGACGGUGACUGACGCUGAGACUCGAAAGCGUGGGUAGCAAACAGGAUUAGAAACCCCAGUAGUCC